rnacentral:rRNA from 1 species
UACGUAGGGGGCAAGCGUUGUCCGGAUUUAUUGGGCGUAAAGAGCGUGUAGGCGGCUAUACAGGUCCGUUGUGAAAACUCGAGGCUCAACCUCGAGACGCCGAUGGAAACCGUAUGGCUAGAGUCCGGAAGAGGAGAGCGGAAUUCCUGGUGUAGCGGUGAAAUGCGCAGAUAUCAGGAGGAAGACCAGUGGCGAAGGCGGGUCUCUGGACAGUUCCUGACGCUGAGGCACGAAGGCCAGGGGAGCAAACGGG